AGAGUUUGAUCCUGGCUCAGGAUGAACGCUGACAGAAUGCUUAACACAUGCAAGUCUACUUGAUCCUUCGGGUGAUGGUGGCGGACGGGUGAGUAACACGUAUCCAACCUGCCUCAUACUCGGGGAUAGCCUUUCGAAAGAAAGAUUAAUAUCCGAUAGCAUAUAUUUCCCGCAUGGGUUUUAUAUUAAAGAAAUUCGGUAUGAGAUGGGGAUGCGUUCCAUUAGUUUGUUGGCGGGGUAACGGCCCACCAAGACUACGAUGGAUAGGGGUUCUGAGAGGAAGGUCCCCCACAUUGGAACUGAGACACGGUCCAA
rnacentral:rRNA from 1 species